AACCCUUCCUAAAGCUCAGGACAGGGGGGAAUUUAACUCCCACAGCUAACCCCCAAAGCUAGCAUUCUAUUUAAAUUAUAUCCUGUUUAAAUAGCUUAAAUUAAGGCGCAGCACUGAAAAUGCUGAGAUGAGCCCUAAAAAGCUCUUUAGACACAAAGGUUUGGUCCUAACCUUAAAGUCAAUUAUUACUUAAUAUACACAUGCAAGCAUCCACUUCCCGGUGAAAACGCCCUUUAACCCCUCUUAGGGAUCAGGAGCCGGUAUCAGGCACGAUAAUCUGCCCAAAACACCUAGCUUUGCCACACCCACAAGGGAAUUCAGCAGUGAUUAACAUUGAGCAUAAGCGCAAGCUUGACUCAGUUGAAGUAAAAUAGAGCCGGCCAAUCUGGUGCCAGCCGCCGCGGUUACACCACGUGACUCAAAUUGACCUUACUCCGGCGUAAAGCGUGAUUAAAGUUUUCCCUAACUAGAGCUAAACCCUUACCGAGCUGUGACACGCCUGUUUAUUAAGAAACUCAAAAACGAAAGUUACUCUAAUACCACCAACUUGAAUUCACGACAGCUGGGAAACAAACUGGGAUUAGAUACCCCACUAUGCCCAGCCAUAAACCUUUAAUUACAUCUCCACCAUAUCGCCAGGGAACUACGAGCCAAGCUUAAAACCCAAAGGACUUGACGGUACCCCAUAUCCCCCUAGAGGAGCCUGUCCUAUAACCGAUAAUCCACGUUAAACCUCACCAUUUUCUAGAUAUCAGCCUGUAUACCUCCGUCGUCAGCUUACCACGUGAGCGCCAAUUAGUGAGCCCAAUGCUUCUUCACCAACACGUCAGGUCAAGGUGCAGCAAAUGAAAUGGGAAGAGAUGGGCUACACUUUCUACAUUAGAAAAAAACGAAAAACUUUAUGAAACCUAGUUAGAAGGCGGAUUUAGCAGUAAAAAGGAAUCAGAAUAUCCAUUUUAACCUGGCACUGGGGUGUGUACACACCGCCCGUCACCCUCUUCAAAAUCAUAACAAAGUUUUUAACAAACCAAGAUAUAAUAGAAGAGGCAAGUCGUAACAUGGUAAGUAUACCGGAAGGUGUGCUUGGAAACGUAACGUAGCUUAACUAAAGCAUCCCGCUUACACCGAGAAAAUGUCUGUGAAAACCAGACCGCUCCGAGCCACAAACCUAGCCCAACAAAUACUUAUGCCUCAGGUAUAACUAAAUAAUCUAAAUAAACCAUUUUAAUGCUUUAGUAAAGGAGAUUGAAACACCUAUUGGAGCUAUAAAAAGAGUACCGCAAGGGAAUACUGAAAUAGUAAAUGAAAAAUUCAAGCAAUAAAAAGUAAAGACUACCUCUUGUACCUUUCGCAUCAUGGUUUAACUAGUCCAAUCAAGCAAAACGUGUUUAAGUUUGACACCCCGAAACUAAGUGAGCUACUUCAAGGCAGCUGAAAGAGCAAACCCGUCUCUGUAGCAAAAGAGUGGGACGACCAUCAAGUAGCGGUGAUAGACCUAACGAACUUAGUGAUAGCUGGUUACUCAAAGAAACGGAUUUUAGUCCAACCUGAAUCUUUAAUUUAAAAUAGUAUGCUAAAACAGCUUUACCGUAUUCAGCGUAAUUCAAAUAAGGUACAGCCUAUUUGAAACAGGACACAACCUAGACCAGUGGAUAAAGUCAGCCCUAUGAACAAUCAAGUCGGCCUAAAAGCAGCCACCUUUAAAAUUGCGUCAAAGCUUAGUUGUUCAAACGCCUAAUUACAAAACCUCUACCUUAAUCCCCCAUUAGUACUGAGUAGCUCUAUACUUCUAUAGAAACUUUUAUGUUAAAACUAGUAACAAGAAGAAGACCCUUCUCUUAAAUGUUAGUGUAAAUCAGAAAGGACAAACCACUGAUACUUAACACCCUUGAACCUGAAGUAACAACUAAUCAAGAAAACUUUACUCUAAUUAACGUUAACCUAACACAAGAGCAUUUUAAGAAAGAUUUAAAAAAUAAGAAGGAACUCGGCAAAUAUUAACCCCGCCUGUUUACCAAAAACAUCGCCUCUUGAGUAUAAUAAGAGGUCCAGCCUGCCCAGUGACUUAUUCAACGGCCGCGGUAUCCUAACCGUGCGAAGGUAGCGUAAUCACUUGUUCUUUAAAUGAGGACUAGUAUGAACGGCACCACGAAGGUUAUACUGUCUCCUUUUUUUAAUCAGUGAAACUAAUCUCCCCGUGAAGAAGCGGGAAUAAAUAUAUAAGACGAGAAGACCCUAUGGAGCUUUAAACAAUAUAGCACUUACCUCACACCAUAAAAAUUUCCGAACAUAAAUUUGUUAGAUAAUAUGACUAUAAGUUUUCGGUUGGGGUGACCACGGAGCAUAACACAACCUCCACGUUGAAAGAAUAUUUUCUUAACUAAGACGUACCCAUCUAAGUAUCAAUAUUUUGACAUUAAUUGACCCAAUACUUUUGAACAACGAACCAAGUUACCCUAGGGAUAACAGCGCAAUCCACUUUAAGAGCCCCUAUCGACAAGUGGGUUUACGACCUCGAUGUUGGAUCAGGGUCUCCAAGUGGUGCAGCCGCUACUAAAGGUUCGUUUGUUCAACGAUUAAAACCCU
rnacentral:misc_RNA from 1 species